UACGGAGGGGGCUAGCGUUGUUCGGAAUUACUGGGCGUAAAGCGCACGUAGGCGGCUUUGCAAGUUAGAGGUGAAAACUCGGGGCUCAACUCCGAGCUUGCAGUCGAUACGGGCAGGCUAGAGUUCGGCAGGGGAGACUGGAAUUCCUGGUGUAGCGGUGAAAUGCGCAGAUAUCAGGAGGAACACCGGUGGCGAAGGCGGGUCUCUGGGCCGAUACUGACACUCAACUACGAAAGCGUGGGGAGCAAACAGG
rnacentral:rRNA from 1 species